AUUAAAAUUUCGAUGUGAUAAUCUAUAAUCCAUUUCAUUUACGAUUUUGGUUGUCUUUUCUUCCCUCCCCCACUUUACUUAUUGUGUUUAGUUGUCAUGUUUUAUUCUGGGUAUUUAAAAUAUCUUCCAGUUUCAGUGAGAAGUGUUACAAAAUUAAAGUCUAUCUGUCUUUGAGAGGAUGAUUAUCAGUUUAUUACUUUAUGCAUUAUCGUUUAUCGCAAUAAUUACUGGGACAGUUUAUCGUCUGGCUAAAUGUAUUUUUCUGUCGUGACAGUCUCAGUUGUUAGGCAACAAAAACAAAACAAAACAUCCACAAGGCAUUAAUAUUUUUCCAAGGCGUUCAGUACAUGAAAAUGUUAAUGUGACGGUAAAAGGAGAGUCGAUGUAUAAUCUAAACAGGAGACGAUCAUGGAAAAGAGAGAAGGAAUGAAGAAAGAAAUUCAGAAUGAAGAGAAGCAGCAGAGCAAGCAAUGGAUGGCUAAAUGUGAGCAGAAAACAACAACAAAAAAAGAAAUGCAAAGAUGGCAAGGACAGAAGGUACAGCCAGAUGGUUUCCACAGGAGAUUAAAGGAUUUCUCAAACAAUGCUUGAAAGAAUCAAAGCAACACUCCAGAGUUCGCCAACAGUAAAAAAUGUCACCCGGUUUUCCAGUCGACUGCCAGCCGCCACUACAGCAGACAGCGAGGCUGCAGGAGAAGAAGACGCCUGCUGCCAUGCAAACAUACAGUCUGUGCUCACACAUGUCAAUAGACAGAGGGUCUGUAAGAAGAAGAAAACGUGAGAGUGUGGGCUUUGAAGGAGAGAGAACAUAAAAAAGAUUUACAUUGUGUUGGGGUUUGAGGAGAUGGCUGCAUGUUUCUCAUCAGCUGUGAGCGGAAUCCAUUUGGUCUGUCGCUUCUUUCCUUUUUCAUCUUCAC